AAAGUCCUCGUGUUGCAUCCCU
rnacentral:siRNA from 1 species